rnacentral:rRNA from 1 species
GACGAACGCUGGCGGCGUGCCUAACACAUGCAAGUCGAGCGAAUGAAGUUCCUUCGGGACUGGAUUUAGCGGCGGACGGGUGAGUAACACGUGGGCAACCUGCCUCAUAGAGGGGAAUAGCCUUCCGAAAGGGAGAUUAAUACCGCAUAAGAUUGUAGUAUCGCAUGAUACAGCAAUUAAAGGAGCAAUCCGCUAUGAGAUGGGCCCGCGGCGCAUUAGCUAGUUGGUGAGGUAACGGCCCACCAAGGCGACGAUGCGUAGCCGACCUGAGAGGGUGAUCGGCCACAUUGGGACUGAGACACGGCCCAGACUCCUACGGGAGGCAGCAGUGGGGAAUAUUGCACAAUGGGGGAAACCCUGAUGCAGCAACGCCGCGUGAGUGAUGACGGCCUUCGGGUUGUAAAGCUCUGUCUUCAGGGACGAUAAUGACGGUACCUGAGGAGGAAGCCACGGCUAACUACGUG